rnacentral:rRNA from 1 species
GAUGAACGCUGGCGGCGUGCCUAAUACAUGCAAGUCGAGCGAACAGACGAGGAGCUUGCUCCUCUGACGUUAGCGGCGGACGGGUGAGUAACACGUGGAUAACCUACCUAUAAGACUGGGAUAACUUCGGGAAACCGGAGCUAAUACCGGAUAAUAUAUUGAACCGCAUGGUUCAAUAGUGAAAGACGGUUUUGCUGUCACUUAUAGAUGGAUCCGCGCCGCAUUAGCUAGUUGGUAAGGUAACGGCUUACCAAGGCAACGAUGCGUAGCCGACCUGAGAGGGUGAUCGGCCACACUGGAACUGAGACACGGUCCAGACUCCUACGGGAGGCAGCAGUAGGGAAUCUUCCGCAAUGGGCGAAAGCCUGACGGAGCAACGCCGCGUGAGUGAUGAAGGUCUCCGGAUCGUAAAACUCUGUUAUUAGGGAAGAACAAAUGUGUAAGUAACUAUGCACGUCUUGACGGUACCUAAUCAGAAAACCACGGCUAACUACGUG